CCUUUAUGGUGCAUAAUAACCACCGCAGCUGUGCAAGCAGAGAUCAAAGAUCAAAUCAAAUUUCAAGCUGCAGGGACCUCAAUCCGAUCACCUGCAGAGGUCAGGGAAAGGAAUUUCUCUUCCCUGAAGAGCCCCAAGAUUGGCUGAAUUCCCAACAGGGGGGGUUGGCAGUGCCUUGAAGGAUCGCAUUACUGGCUACUGCCCAGAAGCAAGGGGACACGGCCUCGGGGUUGAUGGGACUGGUGGGGCCACUCCAUUGUUCCCAGGCAGAGUGCCUGCCAAGCGGAAUGGAGAAACGCAGAGAAAGCCCAGGACUUGGCAUCCAGGGGCACCGGUGUGGUCAGGGCUCAAAAGUCUCCUUUGAGUGUCUACGCUCAAGGAACCCAGGUGACCUCUUAGACUGUUGCAUGAUUGAUUGUCGUGAUGGCCCAUCCCCCACGCCUCCGCUGCUGUCCCCCACCAUUGCCACCAUGGGAGUGGCAGGCCUGCUGGGACUGGACAGCUCAUGAUCAGAUAGUGCCCUUUUUUGUCACACCGUGUGUAAUAGGUCAGUGGAGACGCCCAACCCAUUUUACUGUGGUAGCUGCCAGGUCUAGAAGGCUUAUCUACAACGUGUCUCAUGGUAUGAAACGUUCUCUUUCCCAGAACAAGAUUUGAUUGCCAGGGUGGAAAUUACUGCAUCUAAAAGCAAUGCUGAGCUUCUUAGCGUUGCCCCACAGUGUCCCUGAGAAGGAGAAAGAAGGUCAAGUCAUGACCCACCCAACUGGCUUGGACAAUGAGGCUGGAUGCUCUCCGGCAGUGUUUCUUACGUUUUGUAAAACUCAGGUUCGGUCUUGAGAAAUAGAAGUAUUUGAACUCCUACACUGUCAUCUCAUAUUCCAAAAUCGAUAUUUUCACCAGGGGUAAAGCAGACAGAUGUUAAUGUAAAUAAAUUUUUCGUGAGUCCUUUACUAGAGGGUGUG
rnacentral:lncRNA from 1 species